UGUUACGUAUUCGGCGGCUGGACGACAGCCGGCCCAGGAAAGAGACGACUCAAGCAGUGCCAGGAAGACAAUCCCAGUUUAUUCACCUUGCGGCGCGUUUUUAAGCGCUACGCAGCCAAUCGCAGGUUGGCACGAAAGAAAAGAAAACAGCAAGAUAACAGCAAUCGGGCAAUGUUAUCAGAAAGCCCCGACGUAGAAAGAGGGCGAGCACUGCAAACGUUACAAGCGUUCUUUCAACACUGACGGUGCAUGUUCACUACGGAGCUGUCUUGUAACGGUUCGACAACAGUUACUGUGGGGCCGGGACAGGUGAGCAUGGUGUCAAGCGGAGCGCUCAUCAGUGCCGGGAUGUGUUGUGUUUCGUGCAUGAGCCAGUGGAUUACCUGUUUUCGGGCUUGCGUAUACUCGUCGUGCCAGUGCUCCAAGACUUACCGGAUGCCGGUGCUUUCAAGUGUUUUGAUGAAGCUUGCACACCACAACAAUUCAACCGUGGCGCAAAAGCAUGACAAACAAGACGACAGGAAACGUAAUAGCAAACUUUCGGUGCGCUGCAUUCACCAUACACUUGAGCGGCUUCCUCUCCGGUCAAUCUUUGCUACCCUAGCCGAAAUAUCCGGCGAAGCACACUUCCGUUAGAUGAUCGUCUGUAUCUACGAGAAGGGGCCAGGCUGCCGACGGAAGAACACAGAGGAAAGGUUACCUAAACCGUGCCGUAUUCGCAAUGCAUUGCAGAGUUUGCACGACUGUAUACAAAUAGACAAAACUUGAAGUGAAUGCAUGAAGCUGCACUGCAUAAGACACGCUAUGAAGUCUACUACCUCGAUCUUAUUUAUGAUGUCUUAAAUUCUCGGAAUUUAUGUCGACAGUGUGCCAGCUGCAUAUGCUUGAUUAAUGCACACUUUGCAGUUGCAUGCUUGUGGUUGCCACAUGGCUCUUCGUCAGCCAAAUGUAAUAAAGGUUUAUUUUGCCAUUCGUGAUA